AUUGAACGCUGGCGGCAUGCUUUACACAUGCAAGUCGAACGGUAACAGGCCGCAAGGUGCUGACGAGUGGCGAACGGGUGAGUAAUGCAUCGGAACGUGCCCAGUCGUGGGGGAUAACGCAGCGAAAGCUGUGCUAAUACCGCAUACGAUCUAUGGAUGAAAGCGGGGGACCGUAAGGCCUCGCGCGAUUGGAGCGGCCGAUGUCAGAUUAGGUAGUUGGUGGGGUAAAGGACUACCAAGCCGACGAUCUGUAGCUGGUCUGAGAGGACGACCAGCCACGCUGGGACUGAGACACGGCCCAGAAUCCUACGGGGGGCAGAAGUGGGGAAUUUUGGACGAUGGGCGCAAGCCUGAUCCAGCAAUGCCGCGUGCAGGAAGAAGGCCUUCGGGUUGUAAACUGCUUUUGUACGGAACGAAACGGUCUGGGUUAAUACCCUGGGCUAAUGACGGUACCGUAAGAAUAAGCACCGGCUAACUACGUGCCAGCCGCCGCCGUAAGAC
rnacentral:rRNA from 1 species